GUUGAUGUUUCAACAGUGAUAAAUUAUUAAAUGUAAAAUGGUUGAAAUAGUUUUAGAAAAUCACCUAUAAAUCAAUGCCGAAAUAAGCUCGUAAACUAUACCUUAAAAAAACAAGUGUUUAACCAUAUAUAAUAAUAAUAAUAAUAAUAAUCAUGUAUAAAAUGUGCCCUAUUAUGCCUAUUUUGCCACUUCUGUGUCAGUUUGUGGGUACGUCAAUAUUUCAGAAAAUAGAAAUUAUAUGCUCAUUUUCAUUUUUUUUGCGGUCUGAAGAGAGAUCGCGAGAUUACACGAGACUAUAAGAUAGCAAACACUGGAGCGGAUCUGAGUUACCAUGGAAACGGGGAAACGUCAAGCAUCAAGACUCCGUCUCGCUGUUGUUUUCACUGAUUUUAGGGGUGACAGAAAACCCUCUCUACAACAAAGAGGAAGCUGACAGAGGAGGAGGAAACACAGAUCCGCCAUCAGUUGUUUACCAGUAUGGAGACCAGCUAAGACCAACUGGGAGGUUUUGUUCAUACUUUUUAUUGUGCAUUGUCAUGAUUUCUGCUUUGAUUUGUUAUGAAUCCAGGUCUCUCUUUUUUUGUUGCAUCAUGAUAAAUAAAAUGGAUGUAAUUUAUUGUGACAGUGAAUAAAAAAUAUAUUGAUAUACAUGGACUCAAGUCACUUAUUUGGAAUUUAUUAAAUUCUGUAGCAUACAUGUAAAAUAAAACUAAAAUAAAUUACAGUAAAAUUACUGUAAUAUUAUUAUACUGUAAAAAUAAGUUGCGGUAAGGGCAUCAUACUGUAAAAUUAAAUUGCGGUAAGGGUAUCUUACUGUAAAA